rnacentral:lncRNA from 1 species
CCAGAGAGGGCACAUGUGCCUCAAUUGGCCUAUAGCAUAGCGACUCAUUAUCCUUCCACCGCUGGUGGCGGGCGGUACUCGCUGCUCUGUGAAGCCAACCUCACGCAAUGUCCGCCACUUUAGGUGUUGGGAUGCAAAGGCUUUCGCCAAGGCAUCCGAAACCCACUACACAACUUGGAAUGGGUGGUCCACAGUUUGUAGCACUAGACCCAGGCACAUGCACCACAAUUAACAUUCACACUACCUUAUUGCCCCCGCUCGGGUUACAAGCAAUCGCUACUUGCUCAGCGAGUGAGGGGGUUCAAGACUACCUAUUUAAGGUGGUGUUGUACUGUAUGAGCCGGCGGUGUGGUAUUUACCAACUACAAAUAGUGUCAUGCAUGUGACUUGCUAGUUGACAAUGUCUGUUGUCGAGCUAGAUGUGGGCUAUGGAUGAAGCACAUUAGGAUAUAGUAGGCCUAUUUUGUUUUUUGUUGUUUUUGGGACACUAUGGACUUUAUGUUGAUGUUGUGAAAUUUUUUCUUGUGUUUCCUUUUCCUACGAUGUGGAAAGUGGGUGCGUCAGAGAAGAAAGAAAGAGUGGCUAGCAUUGAUUUUACGUCAUACCGUUGAGAACACUAAUCAGAAGCAGAAGCAACAAUAUUUCAUACAUAUACAACACUUGUAAUCCAUAUAAACAACUUUCCUUUAAAAUAUAAGAUAAACCACAUGAUUUAUAUCCUGGGUCGGCUAUCUCCACAAAGGGCAAGAAAACGCUCCAAGUUUGUAGUAUAGAACUAAAAGUGUCGAUUCUCACGAUUUCUUCCCGACAUAUACAAACUAGACAGUAAUCACAUAAAAUAAAGAAAUAUGUGUUAACAAGAACUUAUACCAUGUAUUUCAACAUAUAGAUUGUUGAUUAUUAUGGUAGAUUAUAUAAAAUAGGGGUUCCCGAAGCAAUACAUAAAAACAAGAGCAUUAAAAUUUCCUUUUCAGAUUUGGCUAUCUGGUAAAAGGAGUUGGAGUAACUGAGUUUCCAAAUUUGUGCCGUAGCUCUAUAGAAGGAAUAUAAAUACGUUGGAAAAAUUCUAUAAGGAAAGGUUUAAUACAAGUAGGGCUAAGAAAAACUCAAUGAGGCUUUGGUCGCAUGGUCACAAAACUUGAGACAAGAAACACGAAGACACCAAGGUAAUUAGUAUGAGAGUUUUCCAAAUUUGGUGUCUUGAUGUAGAAAAAUAAAUAUAUGAAAAACUUGUUUUUUCGCAAGGCAUGGAUAAAUAAGUGGGGGUGAGCAAUAAAUUUCAUCCUUGAUUUAGAAGGAAUAAAUAUAUCACUAAAUACGUUUUUUCACAAUGCCAAGUUAAUCAGGUGGGACCGAGAAACAAUUCUAGCGAGGCUAGGUUGUACUAGCCCAAAACUACAUACUACAGAGGAAAAAUGAAGAAAAUGAUGGUCUACCAAAUAUGGCGCAUGAGCCUUAAGGUGCACCUAGAGGGAAGUAGAAGAAAUAAAUAUAUAAUAGCAUAUGUUUUUCGCAAUGCAAGGUAAAGUGUAGAUGUGCUCUAACUAGGCUUAGAUUGCAGCGACACAUUAUGCAUCUACAAGGCUUGGUUGCACAUGGAAAAAGAUAGAGAGAGAAAUGUAGACGCAGGACCGAGAGAAAAACAUUCAAUGAGACGUGAUUGCACGGACAUAGAACUAGAUAUAAGACAAGAGUUAAAGAAAAAUAAAGGAACUAAAUUUUCUUCUGCACACUAAGCAUGAAUGGAGUUGUAGUAUCUGAGAUCAAAAUUUAAUUUAUUCCAAGAUGCAGAACAAAAACGUGAUACUCGUAAUGGUUACAUAGGAACAAAAGUAGAUAAGAAAAAUAGCAAAAAGAUAGUGGUCUACCAGAGAGGGCACAUGUGCCUCAAUUGGCCUAUAGCAUAGCGACUCAUUAUCCUUCCACCGCUGGUGGCGGGCGGUACUCGCUGCUCUGUGAAGCCAGCCUCACGCAAUGUCCGCCACUUUAGGUGUUGGGAUGCAAAGGCUUUCGCCAAGGCAUCCGAAACCCACUACACAACUUGGAAUGGGUGUUCCACAAUUUGUAGCACUAGACCCAGGCACAUGCACCACAAUUGACAUCCACACUACCUUAUUGCCUCCGCUCGGGUUACAAGCAAUCGCUACUUGCUCAGCGAGUGAGGGGGUUCAAGACUACCUAUUUGAGGUGGUGUUGUACUCUAUGAGCCGGCGGUGUGGUAUUUACCAACUACAAAUAGUGUCAUGCAUGUGACUUGCUAGUUGACAAUGUCUGUUGUCGAGCUAGAUGUGGGCUAUGGAUGAAGCACAUUAGGAUAUAGUAGGCCUAUUUUGUUUUUUGUUGUUUUUGGGCCACUAUGGACUUUAUGUUGAUGUUGUGAAAUUUUUUCUUGUGUUUCCUCUUCAUACGAUGUGGAAAGUGGGUGCCGUCAGAGAAGAAAGAAAGAGCGGCUAGCAUUGAUUUUACGUCAUACCAUUGAGAACACUAAUUAGAAGCAGAAGCAACAAUAUUUCAUACAUAUACAACACUUGUAAUCCAUAUAAACAACAUUCCUUUAAAAUAUAAUAUAAACCACAUGAUUUAUAUCCUGGGUCAGCUAUCUCCACAAAGGGCAAGAAAACGCUCCAAGUUUGUAGUAUAGAACUAAAAGUGUCGAUUCUCACGAUUUCUUCCCGACAUAUACAAACUAGACAGUAAUCACAUAAAAUAAAGAAAUAUGUGUUAACACGAACUUAUAACAUGUAUUUCAACAUAUAGAUUGUUGAUUAUUAUGGUAGAUUAUAUAAAAUAGGGGUUCCCGAAGAAAUACAUAAAAACAAGAGCAUUAAAAUUUCCUUUUCAGAUCUGGCUAUCUGGUAAAAGGAGUUGGAGUAACUGAGUUUCCAAAUUUGUGACGUAGCUCUAUAGAAGGAAUAUAAAUACGUUGGAAAAAUUCUACAAGGAAAGGUUUAAUACAAGUAGGGCUAAGAAAAACUCAAUGAGGCUUUGGUCGCAUGGUCACAAAACUUGAGACAAGAAACACGAAGACACCAAGGUAAUUAGUAUGAGAGUUUUCCAAAUUUGGUGUCUUGAUGUAGAAAAAAUAAAUAUAUGACAAACUUGUUUUUUCGCAAGGCAUGGAUAAAUAAGUGGGGGCGAGCAAUAAAUUUCAUCCUAGAUUUAGAAGGAAUAAAUAUAUCACUAAAUACGUUUUUUCAUAAUGCCAAGUUAAUCAGGUGGGAGCGAGAAACAAUUCUAGCGAGGUUAGGUUGUACUAGCCCAAAACUACAUACAACAGAGGAAAAAUGAAGAAAAUGAUGGUCUACCAAAUAUGGCGCAUGAGCCUUAAGGUGCACGUAGAGGGAAGUAUAAGAAAUAAAUAUAUAAUAGCAUAUGUUUUUCGCAAUGCAAGGUAAAGUGUAGAUGUGCUCUAACUGGGCUUAGAUUGCAGCGACACAUUAUGCAUCUACAAGGCUUGGUUGCACAUGGAAAAAGAUAGAGAGAGAAAUGUAGACACAGGACCGGGAGAAAAACAUUCAAUGAGACAUGAUUGCACGGACAUAGAACUAGAUAUAAGACAAGAGUUAAAGAAAAAUAAAGGAACUAAAUUUUCUUCUACACACUCAGCAUGAAUGGAGUUGUAGUAUCUGAGAUCAAAAUUUAAUUUAUUCCAAGAUGCAGAACAAAAACGUGAUACUCGUAAUGGUUACAUAGGAACAAAAGUAGAUAAGAAAAAUAGCAAAAAGAUAGUGGUCUACCAGAGAGGGCACAUGUGCCUCAAUUGGCCUAUAGCAUAGCGACUCAUUAUCCUUCCACCGCUGGUGGCGGGCGGUACUCGCUGCUCUGUGAAGCCAGCCUCACGCAAUGUCCGCCACUUUAGGUGUUGGGAUGCAAAGGCUUUCGCCAAGGCAUCCGAAACCCACUACACAACUUGGAAUGGGUGUUCCACAGUUUGUAGCACUAGACCAUGGCACAUGCACCACAAUUGACAUCCACACUACCUUAUUGCCCCCGCUCGGGUUACAAGCAAUCACUACUUGCUCAUCAAGUGAGGGGGUUCAAGACUACCUAUUUAAGGUGGUGUUGUACUCUAUGAGCCGACGGUGUGGUAUUUACCAACUACAAAUAGUGUCAUGCAUGUGACUUGCUAGUUGACAAUGUCUGUUGUCGAGCUAGAUGUGGGCUAUGGAUGAAGCACAUUAGGAUAUAGUAGGCCUAUUUUGUUUUUUGUUGUUUUUGGGCCACUAUGGACUUUAUGUUGACGUUGUGAAAUUUUUUCUUGUGUUUCCUCUUCCUACGAUGUGGAAAGUGGGUGCCGUCAGAGAAGAAAGAAAGAGUGGCUAGCAUUGAUUUUACGUCAUACCAUUGAGAACACUAAUCAGAAGCAGAAGCAACAAUAUUUCAUACAUAUACAACACUUGUAAUCCAUAUAAACAACUUUCCUUUAAAAUAUAAUAUAAACCACAUGAUUUAUAUCCUGGGUCGGCUAUCUCCACAAAGGGCAAGAAAACGCUCCAAGUUUGUAGUAUAGAACUAAAAGUGUCGAUUCUCACGAUUUCUUCCCGACAUAUACAAACUAGACAGUAAUCACAUAAAAUAAAGAAAUAUGUGUUAACACGAACAUAUAGCAUGUAUUUCAACAUAUAGAUUGUUGAUUAUUAUGGUAGAUUAUAUAAAAUAGGGGUUCCCGAAGAAAUACAUAAAAACAAGAGCAUUGAAAUUUCCUUUUCAGAUCUGGCUAUCUGGUAAAAGGAGUUGGAGUAACUGAGUUUCCAAAUUUGUGACGUAGCUCUAUAGAAGGAAUAUAAAUACGUUGGAAAAAUUCUACAAGGAAAGGUUUAAUACAAGUAGGGCUAAGAAAAACUCAAUGAGGCUUUGGUCGCAUGGUCACAAAACUUGAGACAAGAAACACGAAGACACCAAGGUAAUUAGUAUGAGAGUUUUCCAAAUUUGGUGUCUUGAUGUAGAAAAAAUAAAUAUAUGACAAACUUGUUUUUUCGCAAGGCAUGGAUAAAUAAGUGGGGGCGAGCAAUAAAUUUCAUCCUAGAUUUAGAAGGAAUAAAUAUAUCACUAAAUACGUUUUUUCAUAAUGCCAAGUUAAUCAGGUGGGAGCGAGAAACAAUUCUAGCGAGGCUAGGUUGUACUAGCCCAAAACUACAUACAACAGAGGAAAAAUGAAGAAAAUGAUGGUCUACCAAAUAUGGCGCAUGAGCCUUAAGGUGCACCUAGAGGGAAGUAGAAGAAAUAAAUAUAUAAUAGCAUAUGUUUUUCGCAAUGCAAGGUAAAGUGUAGAUGUGCUCUAACUGGGCUUAGAUUGCAGCGACACAUUAUGCAUCUACAAGGCUUGGUUGCACAUGGAAAAAGAUAGAGAGAGAAAUGUAGACACAGGACCGGGAGAAAAACAUUCAAUGAGACAUGAUUGCACGGACAUAGAACUAGAUAUAAGACAAGAGUUAAAGAAAAAUAAAGGAACUAAAUUUUCUUCUGCACACUCAGCAUGAAUGGAGUUGUAGUAUCUGAGAUCAAAAUUUAAUUUAUUCCAAGAUGCAGAACAAAAACGUGAUACUCGUAAUGGUUACAUAGGAACAAAAGUAGAUAAGAAAAAUAGCAAAAAGAUAGUGGUCUACCAGAGAGGGCACAUGUGCCUCAAUUGGCCUAUAGCAUAGCGACUCAUUAUCCUUCCACCGCUGGUGGCGGGCGGUACUCGCUGCUCUGUGAAGCCAGCCUCACGCAAUGUCCGCCACUUUAGGUGUUGGGAUGCAAAGGCUUUCGCCAAGGCAUCCGAAACCCACUACACAACUUGGAAUGGGUGGUCCAAAGUUUGUAGCACUAGACCCAGGCACAUGCACCACAAUUGACAUCCACACUACCUUAUUGCCCCCGCUCGGGUUACAAGCAAUCGCUACUUGCUCAGCGAGUGAGGGGGUUCAACACUACCUAUUUAAGGUGGUGUUGUACUCUAUAAGCCGGCGGUGUGGUAUUUACCAACUACAAAUAGUGUCAUGCAUGUGACUUGCUAGUUGACAAUGUCUGUUGUCGAGCUAGAUGUGGGCUAUGGAUGAAGCACAUUAUGAUAUAGUAGGCCUAUUUUGUUUUUUGUUGUUUUUGGGCCACUAUGGACUUUAUGUUGAUGUUGUGAAAUUUUUUCUUGUGUUUCCUCUUCCUACGAUGUGUAAAGUGGGUGUGUUAGAGAAGAAAGAAAGAGUGGCUAGCAUUGAUUUUACGUCAUACCAUUGAGAACACUAAUCAGAAGCAGAAGCAACAAUAUUUCAUACAUAUACAACACUUGUAAUCCAUAUAAACAACUUUCCUUUAAAAUAUAAUAUAAACCACAUGAUUUAUAUCCUGGGUCGGCUAUCUCCACAAAGGGCAAGAAAACGCUCCAAGUUUGUAGUAUAGAACUAAAAGUGUCGAUUCUCACGAUUUCUUCCCGACAUAUACAAACUAGACAGUAAUCACAUAAAAUAAAGAAAUAUGUGUUAACACGAACUUAUAGCAUGUAUUUCAACAUAUAGAUUGUUGAUUAUUAUGGUAGAUUAUAUAAAAUAGGGGUUCCCAAAGAAAUACAUAAAACAAGAGCAUUAAAAUUUCCUUUUCAGAUCUGGCUAUCUGGUAAAAGGAGUUGGAGUAACUGAGUUUCCAAAUUUGUGACGUAGCUCUAUAGAAGGAAUAUAAAUACGUUGGAAAAAUUCUACAAGGAAAGGUUUAAUACAAGUAGGGCUAAGAAAAACUCAAUGAGGCUUUGGUCGCAUGGUCACAAAACUUGAGACAAGAAACACGAAGACACAAAGGUAAUUAGUAUGAGAGUUUUCCAAAUUUGGUGUCUUGAUGUAGAAAAAAUAAAUAUAUGACAAACUUGUUUUUUCGCAAGGCAUGGAUAAAUAAGUGGGGGUGAGCAAUAAAUUUCAACCUAGAUUUAGAAGGAAUAAAUAUAUCACUAAAUACAUUUUUUACAAUGCCAAGUUAAUCAGGUAGGAGCGAGAAACAAUUCUAGCGAGGCUAGGUUGUACUAGCCCAAAACUACAUACAAAAGAGGAAAAAUGAAGAAAAUGAUGGUCUACCAAAUAUGGCACAUGAGCCUUAAGGUGCACCUAGAGGGAAGUAGAAGAAUAAAUAUAUAAUAGCAUAUGUUUUUCGCAAUGCAAGGUAAAGUGUAGAUGUGCUCUAACUGGGCUUAGAUUGCAGCGACACAUUAUGCAUCUACAAGGCUUGGUUGCACAUGGAAAAAGAUAGAGAGAGAAAUGUAGACGCAGGACCGGGAGAAAAACAUUCAAUGAGACGUGAUUGCACGGACAUAGAACUAGAUAUAAGACAAGAGUUAAAGAAAAAAGGAACUAAAUUUUCUUGUGCACACUAAGCAUGAAUGGAGUUGUAGUAUCUGAGAUCAAAAUUUAAUUUAUUCCAAGAUGCAGAACAAAAACGUGAUACUCGUAAUGGUUACAUAGGAACAAAAGUAGAUAAGAAAAAUAGCAAAAAGAUAUUGGUCUACCAGAGAGGGCACAUGUGCCUCAAUUGGCCUAUAGCAUAGUGGCUCAUUAUCCUUCAACCGCUGGUGGCGGGCGGUACUCGCUGCUCUGUGAAGCCAGCCUCACGCAAUGUCCGCCACUUUAGGUGUUGGGAUGCAAAGGCUUUCGCCAAGGCAUCCGAAACCCACUACACAACUUGGAAUGGGUGGUCCACAGUUUGUAGCACUAGACCCAGGCACAUGCACCACAAUUGACAUUCACACUACC